rnacentral:lncRNA from 1 species
CAUUUUGGGAGCUUUUGAUCAUUUUGGGUGUCAUUUUAGGUCAUUUUGGGGGCAUUUUGUGGGCAGUUUGGGGCAUUUGGGGACAUUUUUUAGAUAAUUUUGGAUAAUUUGGGGUAAUUUGGGGACAUUUUGGGGUCAUUUCAGGCUCAAUUUGGGUCAUUUUGGGGCCAUUUUGGGUCAUUUUGGGAUUUUUAGGUCAUUUUUGGGGUCAUUUUGGGUCAUUUUGGGGUCAUUUUUGGUAAUUUUGGGUCAUUUUGGGAUUUUUUAGGUCAUUUUUGGGGUCAUUUUGGAAAACAUUAGGGGUCAUUUUGGGUCAUUUUGUGGUAUUUUGGGUCAUUUUAAGUCAUUUUGGGGAUAUUUGGGUCAUUUUGGGUCAUUUUGAGGCCAUUUUGGGUCAUUUUGGGUCAUUUUGAGUCAUUUUGGGGUCAUUUUGGGUCAUUUUGGGACAUUUUUGGGAUAAUUUUGGGUCAUUUUGGGUAGAUCUUUGGGGACAAUUUGAGUCAUUUUUGGUUAUUUUGGGACAUUUUGGGUCAUUUUGGGUCAUUUUGGGAUCUUUUGAUCAUUUUGGGUCAUUUUGGGUCAUUUUGGGAUUUUUUAGGUCAUUUUUGGGGACAAUUUGGGUCAUUUUGGGUCAUUUUGGGAUCUUUGUAUCAUUUGGGGUCAUUUUGGGGUCAUUUUUGGUAAUUUUGGAUCAUUUUGGGUCAUUUUGGGAUCUUUCCAUCAUUUUUGGGAUCAUUUUGGGUCAUUCUGAUGACAUUUCGGUCACAUUUUGGGUCCUUUUCUCUCAUUUUGAGUCAUUUUAGGAUAUUUUCAUUCAUUUUCCCCCGUUGACAGAACCUUUUUUUUUUUCUGCUCUUUUUCCUCCGCCGUUUUGGGUCCAAUUCUGACGAUUUCGGUUCAAAACCAAAACUCACCUCCACCACCACCAAAACCCAACACCUUUUUUGGGGUAAAUUCAGACCUUUUUGGGUUUUUUUGCCCCCCAUGGGACGGCUGUGCCGCUGCCGAAAACGUCGCAAAGGGAUCCGGAAGAUUCGGGUCCCCCCCCAGGUGGGUUUGGAGCCUCGAUUUUGGGG